rnacentral:rRNA from 1 species
UACGUAGGGUGCGAGCGUUGUCCGGAAUUAUUGGGCGUAAAGAGCUUGUAGGCGGUUUGGCGCGUCUGCUGUGAAAAUCCGGGGCUCAACCCCGGACUUGCAGUGGGUACGGGCAGACUAGAGUGUGGUAGGGGAGACUGGAAUUCCUGGUGUAGCGGUGGAAUGCGCAGAUAUCAGGAGGAACACCGAUGGCGAAGGCAGGUCUCUGGGCCACUACUGACGCUGAGAAGCGAAAGCAUGGGGAGCGAACAGG